GACGAACGCUGGCGGCGUGCCUAAUACAUGCAAGUCGAGCGGAUGGAAGGAAGCUUGCUUCCUAAAGUCAGCGGCGGACGGGUGAGUAACACGUGGGCAACCUGCCCCUAAGAUCGGGAUAACUUCGGGAAACCGGAGCUAAUACCGGAUAUGAUUAUGUCUCACAUGAGACAUAAUGGAAAGACGGUUUCGGCUGUCACUUAGGGAUGGGCCCGCGGCGCAUUAGCUAGUUGGUGAGGUAACGGCUCACCAAGGCGACGAUGCGUAGCCGACCUGAGAGGGUGAUCGGCCACACUGGGACUGAGACACGGCCCAGACUCCUACGGGAGGCAGCAGUAGGGAAUCUUCCGCAAUGGACGAAAGUCUGACGGAGCAACGCCGCGUGAGUGAAGAAGGUUUUCGGAUCGUAAAACUCUGUUGUUAGGGAAGAACAAGUACCAUAGUAACUGAUGGUACCUUGACGGUACCUAACCAGAAAGCCACGGCUAACUACGUGCCAGCCGCCGCUGUAA
rnacentral:rRNA from 1 species